UAUAUAUAUAUAUAUAUAUAUAUAUAUAUAUAUAUAUUAUUGACUUAUAAUAUUAUAAAGUAUAAGGGUUGAAUUUUAACUUUUAAAAUUCUAAGGACUAACUGGGAAUUAAAGUAUUCAUAAGUGAAAACUUUUCAAAUUCCAAAAACUUGAGGGCAAGUUUUGAAACUAUUCAAAAUUAAUUAAUUUCAUAACUUAUGAGUUUAAAGUAGUUUUAAUUAAAAGACUCUUCAAGUUCCAUAACUUGAGGACAAGUUAUGGAAGACUUUAAACUAAUAAAAGAAUGUAACUUUUCUUUAUUUUGUAACUUAUGGAAUUAAUUAAGGUUACACAUUUUAUUAGUUAAUGAAGUGAAUCUUGAACCUCCAUAACUUGAGGACAAGACUCUUCAUUUUUUGUAACCAUUUCCACCUGUUAUGAGAUUUAUGAAACUAAAAUGUGACUUUUCAUGUAACUUGAGGACAAGUUACACAAACACAUUUUAGAAUCAACUUUUAGAUUAAAAUGGAUUGAAAAAAAGUAGUCAAAUAACUUUUCUAUUAAUCUAAGCAACUCAUAUGAACAAAGAUAAUUCACAUAAAACUUUUCCAUGUAAUUAGCAAUACUCUUAAACUAAUACAAAAUAUGAAUCAAUUGACAGUUAUCUUUGAAAUUGGAUUAGCAUGAACAUUACCACAUCAAAAAUAAUUUUAUAAGUCCAAAAACAUCUUAGGGUAAUGUUCCUAAUCCAAUUCCAGCCAAAAAAGUCGAAUAUAUGUUGUCUGGGGUCCAACUCGUCGACUGCACGAACAAAAUCGGCAAGUUGGAUGCAUUUUGCCUUGGACUUAUCAAGUCCCUUUAUGGACUCGGCGAGUCUGCUGAACAGACAACAUAAAAACUCAAUUUUUAAGUAGUUUUCGCAAGUGUAACAAGAAAACAAGCCUAGGCUCUGAUACCACUGUUGGGUUUUGAGCAUUUUAACACUCCUAUGGUGUACAUGCAACCCUAUAAACCUUGGAUCUAUGUUUUCUCUAUUAUACUUGCAAAUAAAAACUUUCUAAGGCUUUAAUCCUAUCUAGCAUAUUACGAAGCUCUUAUACUGUAACGCCCGUAGAUGCGGGCUAGUCAAGUGAGAGGCAAUAAGUGUCGAAAACAACUUCUUGAUAGAAGAUUAUUUAGAAAAUAUAAUUUGAACCAAGUUGUAGUAUAUGUCCCAAGGUUUCCGUACAUAUAAAGAACGCUGAAAUCCGAGUUAUAAUGAAGAAGUUACGACCCGUCGAAGUUACGCGACGGAACCGGCAUGACACCGGGAAGAGUAAAUAGUGAAUUUACGAUAGAGCGAGUUUUAGCCUUAGCGAUAUAAACAAAAAUCGUAGAGUAUGUUAAACUAACAACAUUGAUAAAAAGAAUGCCCAAAUCUAACUUCGUAUGAAGAAGUUAUGAUUUUUCAAAGUUUCGGAUUAGCUGUUUACAGCCCGAAAUUCGAAUAUUAGAUCGAGUGAUUUUUAGCUGACACGACCUAAACGAGAAUCGAAGAUCUCCUUAAGGGUAGCGUAACGAGAAAAAGAUGGGCGAAAACGGACGUCGGAUGAAGAAGUUAUGAGAAUUUAACGGACCAAUCUUGUCCCGGCCUGUUAAUAAUAUAAAUUUUAAAAUAAAGUCAAAAUUAGCCGACGGAGUCUAAACGAAAGUUGUAGAGUACGUCCCGCCUUCGCGUGGAUAUAAAGAACAUCAAAAAUGGAGCUCGUAAACGAAAGGUACGAAUUUUUAAAAUUUGUACUCGAUUUUGCGAGAUCUGAUACGAAGUCGCUGACGUGGCGCUUUCCCAGCCGUCCGAUGAUAAACGCUGAAGUCCCCUCGGAUCGUGACGCGUAGUCCCCUCGCUACACCCAGCGUCCGGUCUCGCACUCGCCGCGUUCGCAUAGCCAUGCUCGGUCCAGGAGAAGCCACGUCGCACCACCAAGCCUUCGCCUCCUGGUCAUCUUAUCCGAAGUUACGCCACGCGUAACCUUCUGAACGCCCCGCGUAGUGCGAAACCUCGCACCUAUAAAAGGGGUGCAAGGGCAGCCGGUUUUUCACACGAAAAUCUUCUUCUCUCUCUAAAAUAUUACUCUCUCUAAGGCACCGAACCACUCCUAAACCGUAGAUAAAACCCCUAGCACACUAAGGAAGUCCCGAGGCUCCCGGAGUCCCUAGAAAAAGGGUCUUUCGGUUUCGAAACGCUACUCCGAGCAAAGUCCGGUUUUCUUUAAAAUCCGAUGUAAGUGAGCUACGCUUACGCAACUUUUAAUAUAGCUUUCAAAUAAUUAUUGUAAUAUUAUUAGGUCCUUAAAAUAGUUAUUUAGGCUAUUAUUAUCAGUUAUAUUGAGUGUUAUUUAACGCUUAUAUAAUAAUAAUAAUAAUAGUCAGACUAUUAAUUUGCCUCGGUUAUCGUUAGACUAAACCCUAGUAGUAUUGGUACUAGGUUUUAUCGAAGGAAAAUUGUUUUGAGGGUAUCGAAGCGCUAUCCGAGUGCUGAGUCACCACCUUUCAAGUGAAUGCAUAGUUAUUUUCAGCUUACACGUAGAUAUGAAGUAUUUUAUAUAUAUUACGUGCUAUGUGUGCAUAUUAUCUGAAUACUUGCUAUCUAUGCUGGGUGAACGAUUUUACACAUGUUUUAAAUGAUUUAAAUUGUAUAUGUAUUUUAUAUCUAUGAAAAUGUUGGGAUAAGACAUGGGUAAAUGUAAUAGAUGAAAUAUGAGUUGGAUGAUGAGUUGAGAGGUGAAAUAGACCGUGAGGUGAGGGUGAGAGGUGGACGAUGUGAGAAUCCUUUUUCCCAAAUGAUGGCCCCAUCAUUCAGCAGAGUAUGGAUGACAGCCACGAACUAUUCUAGACAGUCCAGUGGACGCUAGCAGGCUCACAACCUGUAGGUGUUUUGAACUGUGUAUUCACCAGGUGUACUCUAUAAACCAAUUGACAUGUACUGCGAGUGGACUCUCGAAAAUGAUACUCUAAAUAAAACCCUGGCAGAUGCGCCUAAAGGACUCUACCGACAGAAGCGUCUAAUUGAGAACCUCAUAAUCCGGGCAGAUGCACCUUAAGGACUAUUCCGGCAGAUGCGCCCCAUAGAGAAUGUCACAAUUUUGGCAAAUGCGCUAGUGACAGNNNNNNNNAUUAGCAGCUGCGCUUGACCAAUGUGUCAUUGGCAACAAUGGACUUCAUGUUGUUUCCUUAGGAUGAUCCUUAGGAAUGAAUGAAUGAGAAAUAGCUGAUUCUUAGGGUAGAUCCUUAAGAAUAAAGAAGAUAAUGGGGAUGGGUAAUUGGGUUGAUUAUUUGAUUGUUUAAACAUAAUAAUUAUAUUAUUGUGGGUUGAAAACCCUAUGUACUCACCAGGUUUCCCAACCUGACCCACUCAGUUUAUUUAUAUCACAGGUGUCUAUAUGAAGUGACAUUACACUGAGAGAUUAAAGAGAUGUAUAUCACUAGUUUAAAUAAAUGUAAGUUCCGUUUAUGCUUAUGUUCCUGUAUUGACAAUGACAUCCCAAACGUUUUUAAAAUGAAUAGGAUACGUUUCUUCGAAAAUGUUUUGAUAACCUAUUUAUCGUAAUAUUUUUAUAAAAAGAAGUACUCUGAUGUUUAUAAAGCAUAAAGAAAAUCGGUCUUUUCUGAGCGAACUAGGAAUAUGGAUUUUUUUCUAGACUUAAACUUAGAAUGCUAAUAGAUUUAGGUAAUACACCUGAAUAGACACAAGCACUAGUUUAUUUUAGGAAUGAUGCUUAAAUUGCUUUUACGUGCUAAAUGAUUUUCUAUCGUUUGAUCGGAUCUAUGGUUUGUUUUCGACCGGAUAUGGAAACCUUAUGUGUUUAGGAUUCUAAACGUACGAAUACGAUAUUAGAACUAGCAUAUAAACGUUUCGGAGUGAUAAGGAUGAUUUAAACGUCGAUCCUAAAUAAAGAUCUAGAUUCACCUUAUUCGGUGUAUAGAUCAAGAUGGCAAGGACCUGUAGCGGAAACGUGAAUGCAAAUGGGAACUGAAACCAACCCCCAAUGAUUGAGCAAAUACUAGUUGUGGUAGUCGCUGCUAAGCCACUAAUGAUGGCCGGAGUGCAAGCGAUGAUCCAGGCGAUGUUGGAUCAUCAAAUGGAGGAAACCAUACAUUUUCCCCAACAAAAUCGAGAGGAAGCGACCAUAUAGAUCGGACAGCCCGAUUUGAACGAAGGGCAGACUGAGGAAGGGAAUUACAGUUGAACCGUUGGUCAACUCAACCCGCCAAUAGUUCGACAAAACAACCAAGAUGACGGAAUCAAGAGGAAUGGAUGCAAGUACAAGGAUUUUCUGACUUGCAAGCCAUUGACUUUAACUGGAAAAGAAGAUCUGAUCGGGGUCAUGGAUUGGAUCUCGGAGAUGGAGUUAGCUUUCAUGACGUGUGGUUGCAGAGGCAAACUACAAACCACGUUUGCGGUACGCCAGUUCAGAGGAGGCACGGUUCAUUGGUGGAACACUCUGGAGAAGACUCUGAGCCCCAAUGAGCCCUACAAAUGACGUGUGUAGAGUUUUUGGUGCAGUUCAUAGGUAGGUACUGCUCUGCCCAAAAUCUUCUCGAGCUAGAAAACCAAUUCCUUACCUUGAAGAAAGGAAGCGUGUCUAUUGAUGAAUACACCAACUAUUGGAUUUUGAGCAUUCUAACACUCCUAAGUAUACAUGCAACCCUAAAUACCUUGGAUCUAUGUUUUCUCUAUUAUACAUGCAAACUUGCAAGGUAUUAUCCUAAUCUAGCAUACAAAACAAUGAAUAUAACAAGAUAGAAUACAUACCUCUUUGAUGUAGAAAGUCUUCAUGAAGCUUGAGUGCCUAGUGCCCCAAGUGUGACACCUCAAAUGGUUCACACAACACCAAAUACACUUGGAAUAACUUGAGAGAAACUUGAACACACCUUGAAAUUGUCUAGCCCUCACACUCACACAUAGUGCACGAUUUCUUGAGCCAUGGGAUUCUUUUAUAUGGUGGCUAUUAGGGUUACACCACGUAACUCAUGACUUUACCCAUUCCUUAUGCUCCAUGGAUUUUAACCUCCAUGGAGCAUCCAUGGGUCACCCCAUGGACUUAGUCCAACAUAAGGAAUCUUGGAUCACAAGCCCACAUAUAUAAGAAUGAAUGAUUUACACAAUCAACCCAUAUAUUUAAUUAGUCUCCUUUUGAUCACUUAAUUAAUUCCAAAUUAAUUCUUGAUCAAUACUAAUUAAAUAAAGUUAUUAAUAUAUUAGAACUUAUAAUAUAUUAACAAACCUUAAGUGUUAUUUCUCUCAUUUUAGUCUAUCCAAAUGCAUGAUGCCAUGCAACCCAAAUGGACCAUGCCGGGUCGGGUCAAGUCUUACCAAUUAUAGUUAUGGACUUAGACAUUAAUCCAACAGUCUCCCACUUGGAUAAGUCUAAAACUAUUAUUGCGUAUGACUUCAAGAACCAACUGGCAAUCGUAGCUCUCAAAAGCUUCUGUCGAACUCUGACCUUGUAGAUGAACUCUGACCUUUGUCAAUGACUUGUCCAUUAGAUAAGGGAUCAUAUAUUCCUCCAUUCUAGAUAUCAUAUGGACUGAGACAUGGAUUAUAAUCAUUCUCUCUGUCCAUUUGUUGUUUCCCGAUUUCCGAUUUAUGACGACUGACUAAUUGAACAAAUCAAAUCAGUCCUGGCCCGGCCGAGCACUUCCAUUUGUCAUCAUCAAAUCAUCGAGGGGCCCACAGAUAUCGCUUUUAUCCCGAAGGUAAAAGGAAUGGAUAAACUUCGACUCAUAUGGCUUGUUCUACUACUUGUUGAAUCAUACACAAAGGCACGUUUUAUAGCACCGAGUUACCAAAUGCGUUUUCGUGCAAUCAAUGUACUAUCAACUCAUAGUAACAACUCAUAUCUCUAGGUUUGAAGAAUAUAAGAUAUUAUCGUCUCAUGAUCACUCGUGAUAAAAUCCAUGAAGUGAUUCCAAUGAGCGCGGGUUGAAUCCAAUACUCAGAACUUAUGAGCACUCAUGAGUGUUGUAGCCCUUUGUCCAACACCUUAGACCUCUACAAGCCAACCCAUGACAGUCUUAAUUCAUAUCUACUUCCAACAUAUGACCGACUGUGGAUGGUUUGAAUAACUUAGUCAUUCCGGAAGAAUAACCUAGUUUAUUCUGGAAGUCAAAACAUGCAAAAUGAAACACAAUAAUAAUUGAAUCCAAUAUGGUAUCAAAACCUAUGAACAUAAAUAAAACACCUUUUAUUUAUCACUAUAUGAUUGCACAUUAUUCAUUGUAUACUGUUUCAGCUAUCACCUUUAUUCAUGAAUUUAAAACAAUAGUUGUCCCAUGCUCUAAGCAUGUACACUAUGUUUUCUAAACACUAGUCAUGUUAUACACCAAUUAUACAUACUAUGUUUGUCUACGAUCUUUACUUUGUGUAAUAGAUCAAUUGAACAUAACUCCAAUGAUCCUCUUUUCACAGUCCCAAAUCCUUACUGCAAAUGCAAAAAUUCCAAAUUCAUGCGAUUUACUGAAAUCUGUUAGAUUCUAAACUUAUAUGCAUUGAUCCUCUUGUAAUGAUUAUGCACAAAGUCACAAGGACUUGACAACAAACAUUACAAAGUAUUCCAAAGGAGAUCAACUCCUUGGAAACAUCCUUCUUGCAUUAAGUUUCCUUAAUCUUACAUAGAUUGAAAAUUCUAACUUUGAAACAUUUCCAGAUUCAUUUUGACUAUCACUUCUGAACAAGAGUUGCCUCCUUACAGAUUAUGUCAAUAUGGUCCUUCCAGAAUUAUCACCAUACUUCCAACUGUCCUUAAGCACCCAAUCUUUGGUAAACCUUAGAUUGUCGUCGACAAUUGAUUAAUCCUUUUAGUCAUAUCGAAUUCUAGACCUUUUCCCUUCUUAAUGCCCCAGGCAUUUGGAAAAUUUUAGAAAGGAUGAAUAUAGCACAUGUAAUCGAUCCUAUAUCCGAAGCAUAUGGGACACGAUUCAUGAUGUCUCACAUAAAGACUAAACCAGUCUUUUGCUAUAACAUUUCCAUUUCUAUUUGCCAAGUUCUCAUAAUUCAGAUUAUGAAAAGGGAUGCCGUAAUCAUAAUCGAAUUUUAGAACGCAAAUAAUGGACCCAUAUACAGAAUUUUCUUAUGUUGAGCCAUUCCAACAUGAAAUUCAUAUAUAUAUCCUUGACUAAAUACGAUUAAAACCUCGAUCUAAGCUUUUAGAUUUGAGAUGAAGUAUAAUUUCCUCUCCCUUAAUUAUAGCAAAACAACUCUUUCCCAAUUGAAACUUUUGUUUUCUAUAAUUAACAUUGCUAACUUGCAAUACUUAUCAUAAUUAUCAUGCUCCCACUAACAUGAUGAUUAUUAGCAUGACACUUAUGCUCCCACUAGCUUUGACAUGUACUCAGAAAUCAGCUGACUUUCUUACCAAAGUUCAGAUUUCUGAUACUAGAUUGCUUUGAUAAAACUUUAUCAAAAUCAUACACCUUCCCUUAGAUAGCUCAUAGGUGUGUCUAAACAAUUAUGAAGAGGGAUGCCGUAAUCAUAAUGGUUAGACCUUUUUGCCACUUCUCACAAGUACAAGUUAGUGUGUCGGUUAACCACACAAGCUCCACUAACGACUUUUAGAAUGCAAAUAUCUCAAUUGCUAUCUAGCUAAAAUCAACUUAGUGAAAGUGUUUCCUCACCAUCAUUUUCAUGAAUCGGAGUGAAACCUUAUGACACUUAGAUUUUUAUGGUGUAUGAGUUCCUACCCAUAUGAAUUUGUCCAAACCAUAAUCACAAGACAAGGAUAAUGACAAAUCCAAACUCAUAUGGACUGAACUCAAUCUUAAUUUCUUGCCACCUUGCAGCUUAAGGGCCUGUCAUUGCUUCCAAGUUGUUGUGCAACCAAUUAAGAGCUCUAAAAACUCAUAUGCAAAGCCAACUUUAACUGGAAUGGGCACAAAAUAUGUCAACAUGAUAGGUUAUAAACCUCAAGUCGUGUGCUAGCGAAGACCUUCAGGUUUUAUUCUUGAUUAGUUCUUGAGACUUUCAAGAACUUUUUCUUUUAUUUUAAAACUUUGUGGAAAACUUAUCCUUAUAAUCCAUAUGAAAACCUUGUUGUUAUCUAUUCCUAAGCAAUAUAAAUAUCAUAACUCUUAAGUAAUAGCCCAAAAUUCUGAUCACCGAACCAUGCGAUUGAAAUCCAUCUUCGCGAUCAGAAUCAGCAUGCACUUCAUAGAGUUAGACAAUGGACUUCACCUGAAGUAGAGCCAAACUUAUUGACUUUAACAUCCUUAGGUAAAUUUGGCAGCUUCGCAACCAAUGCUCCUUCCUUUGGCAAUAGUUACCUAUGGACCCUUGAUAAUUGGACUUUCUCAGACUUAGCCUCUCUCUUUACCAUUUGGUCAACCGGGUUGACUAUGGCCGAUCCCUUUCCAUUGGAAAGAGAGAGCUUUACUGGAUAUCCAAUGUCAUUAUUGUCAAUGUCCACAAGUUUUAGGAAGUUGAUCUUAGCAAAUAGAUAAGAUCAUUAAGGGUCUUGUCAUAGUCUGUUUCAUAGGAGUCCCAAAGGAACUCACUAUGUGACUUAGAAAGUAGUUGAACCACCAACUUUCUCAAGACUUUGACACCCAACUCUCCCGGCUUGUCAAUAUGUGACUACAUCUCCAAGAUGUGAUCACACAUAGACCUUUGCUUGCCAAUAGGGCUUGAGUGACCUUAAAAUUUUCAAGAACUUGUGGGUUAGGGAGAAUAAUUGGAGUAGGUGAAAGAAGUAUGAUUUCCAUGGGACAUCAUCUUCAUUCAGGAAAGCUUGUUUCAAGAGAUUUAGGAAGAUCAUAAAUGUCUAAACCAGACAUGUUUUUGGGAGAUAUUCAAGAUAGUUGAUUUAAAGUCCUUAAUAUGACACCCAAUAUGAAAUAUUAAGGCCAGGACCCAACAAACUAUUUUAUAACUUAGAAGACGGAUGUCGUAAUCCAAGCUAUAAAAUAUUCGAAGGUAGGUGAAUGACGAUUCACCAAUUUCCACCCAGAUAAACGAAAUGUAUUAUUAGGUUUUAAUUGGUUUUCGAAACUCCUAGAUCUUUGAGAUUCAUUGAACUUUUCAAUGGUAUGUUUCAAUCUUGAGUGUGCCCUUCAGGUUUUGUGACUGUGAUGCCGAGGAUCACAAAACAAGGUGUGAAGUAACCAUGCAAAUUACUUGGCACACUUAAGUGUUUACCCCUCAAUCGAUGUUGUCACAGUCACACCCCGAAACCAAAGGCGAAAACGUUCCGGGGUGGAGGACGUCAUGAAUACCGCAACCAAUGUACAUAGUAAGCAUAGUAAACACAAAACUUUACAUUACAUAGAUUUAUUUACAUUGUUUGAAAACAACGGAUUACAUGCGAUAUACAUAUACAUAUUAUAUGAACAAAAGUAAAGACGUGUCUUCUACAUACAUCGCCUUCGCCAAAAGGAUCGUUGGGUACCUGUCUAAUAUGGACCUGAGAAUACAAGCAGUUUAAAAAUCAGCAUAAAGCUGGUGAAUUAUAAGCGACUUUGUUUUCUGAAAUUGUACAAGUUCCUUUCUGUUUUCUGAAAAAGUUUCACACCAAGAAAAUCCCAUAUUUUCUUGAAAGUAAUGUAUUCGAAUCCAAAAUAUAACGUAAAAGAUGUACUCUGAAAACAUGUUUACCCUCGUGAAUUAUAAAUUUUAGUUAUCUGAGUUAUUACACGGUUCUGAUUAUGUACAAAUGUUAUCCCAGGAAAAUCCCAUAUUUUCCUAAAUGUCUGUGAAUUGUUACCGAAUCUUAAAGUAAUGUACAAGUAUCUACCAUACUUAAAGUGUGUGUUUGGAGUCUCUUGAAAGUCUGAUUACCUUUAAAUGUACAUUAGUUUUAACAAAUAUAAUAAACUAAUAAAUACGUGGAAGGUGUUCAUAAUCUUGAUUGCGAGUCCUUAACCAUACUUCAGACUAGAUAUGACUCGAACCGAGGUCAGUAUAUUUUUCUGACUUUUGUCACCCUUGAACCUUGCGGUUCGGCUUUAGCUAGCAGCCAGGUGCGGGAUAGUCAGUCUCGUAUAGAUCUAUACACUCAAGUCACGUUCUCCCUUCUGGAGAUUCUGGUUACAGGGAUAGUCCUCCACUCUCUCGUCCCAAGGGAAGUGUUACAAAUGACUUGUCUCCAAUCUUUAUGAUUACUCUUUACUCUCGUAUCUAGGGGAAGUAGUAUCUAUGACUGACUAAGUUCUAAUGAAGCCUGUUCUUUACACUCGAACCUAAGGUGUUUUAUUAAGGACAAUACAAAUGUUCUAUGAUUUCUAUCAGUAAAAGUGUGAACAAUCAAUUGUGAAGUAUAAAGUAUAACACUAUAUAAUAAGAAUUGAAAUAGGUUUGAAGAACAAUUCUAUAAGUUAAACCGUUUGUUAUUAUGUUUUCAAUUCUUAAAAGUGUACAGAUUAUGAAACCAUUUAAAUGAAUAAUGAAUUUAAGUACAAGUUAUUCUUGUACUUUUGCUUGUAUUCCCCCCCCCCCUGAAAACAUUGAAAAACCAUUGAAAAAGGGGAGGGGUAUGAACUCACCAGACGAGAAAAUGUGUUGGUUCGGAUGCUAAGUGUCGGUUCGGGGCUUGAUAACGCGCGACGUUCCUAUGUAAUAUGAAGUGAUAUACAAAUAUAUCUAAUUAGAUUUUAAAUCACUAAUUAUAUAUUAUUAAAUACUCCAAGACGCGAAAACACUUCAAAAUAAGUGAUUGGAGUGACCCGGGUGACAUUUAAGGACGUAAGGGACUAGGGAAAUGAGUUUACUCUUCAAGAGUAAACUCCUUACGGAGUUUUUGGCCCUAAACACUCUAACCACAUGAGUUCACGGCCGUGAACUCAUGGUUGAGAGUUUUAUGGUGUUAAAUGGUCAAUAACACUUAAGGGAUGAUAGGGUAAAUUUAUCUAAGGCAUGGAAAUGGAUUAAAUCACCAAGAACAACAUUUAAAGGGAGUUUAUGGCCCUAAACAAGGAGUUUACUGCCGUAAGAUCCUAUACUCCCCUUAAAUUGAUGAUUUAGUGGCCUUAGAUUAAUCACAUGUGAUUCAAACAGUUUUUACAAGCCUUAGGAUGAAUUUUGGGCACCAUUUGGCUUAUCUUAAUGAGUUUAUGGCCCUGGAACCUAUCCUUGGGGGGUUAUGGCUGUAAACUCUCAAAUGAAGACUUUUUAUUAUGUUUAAGGUCCCCAAAUUGAUUUUGGUUGGUUCUAGGAUUUAUUCCAAGGCUAAUGGUGUGUUUAAAUGGCUUUUAAACACUUGAUUUUAAGUUUACUCUCCAUGGAUGAUGAUUUUACGGCCCAAGCGUGUUCUUGGGAAGUAAAAUCAUGUUUAGUUCUCAAAAAUGAUGAUUAGGGUGUUCUAAGUCCGAAAUGGUAAGCCAUAAAGUCAUAUCUAAGUCCCAAAGUUGGUUUGGAGGGGUUUUAAGGCUCAAAAACCCUCUUAAUAUGUGUUUACGGCCCAAGCAUGCUCCAGGGCCGUACACUCAUGAAUAUGGUCCAUUUUCAUUGAUUAAACUCGGAUUUGAAGGCUAAUGAGGUUGAACAACAAUUUAGGGAAGUUACCUUGAAGAUUUGAGGCCUUAAAUUGAAGUUUUGGACCUAGUUCUCUUAUUUGAGGAGAGAGGUUAGAGAGAGAGUAGUGAGAGAGGGAAAAAGCUUCAAAUGGAAGCUUAAACAUCUUUAAAUAGUGUCUAAGAUUUGGACACGGUGGAAUUCUACCCGAUACCGAUGAUAUACGGGGCUUUUGGUCGCCCCCGAUCAAGUUGCCGUAACCCGAUAUGGUUGAUUCUUAAAAUAUUUCGAUUACUAAUAUGGGGUGCUAAAAUGAGUUCUAAAUGUGUUCGGACACCCAUUAAGUCAUAAUAAUAAUUUCAAAUUAAUGACUUAAUUUAAUUACGAAAUUGGAAACGAAUUGCUAAAAACGGGUCUUACGGACGAAUUGGGUUUCGGCGAUGGAUAACUUCGGGUUGUCCAGAUGUGCCGGUUAACCACAUACGCUCCAUCGAUACUAUGAUAAACAUUAAGUUACCCUUUGUCUACCUUUUUAAAUACGAGUUAGUGUGCCGGUUAACCACACAGGCUCCACUAACCGACUUAAACAAAGUGCAAAUUGUAAUUUCAUGGAUUAGCACCUUAUUCACAUUUUCCUAANGCAAAGUGUAAUUUCAUGGAUUAGCACCUUAUUCACAUUUUCCUAAGUAACUAAGAUUGGGUAUUUAUAAGAGUUUAGUUACUUAGUAUUUAUCAUUAAUACUUUUAAUGAAGGGAGAAUUCUAGUCCUUGUCCUACCCGUUCGGCUAACAACCCUCCACCGGUCAAGGAAGCGGUGGGUGAGAGUGGACACCCAUUAAACUGCCAUUUUAUAGGCAGUAACCUUAUACCCCCUUUAUAGACCGGCUUCGUGAAUGAGGCCUACUAACGGUAAGACUGACUUUACUCUUAUACAUAUAUAUAAAUAUUAUUAACUUAUAAUAUUAUAAAGUAUAAGGGUUGAAUUUUAACUUUUAAAAUUCUAAGGGCUAACUUGGAAUUAAAGUAUUCAUAAGUGAAAACUUUACAAAUUCCAAAACUUGAGGGCAAGUUUUGAAACUAUUCAAAACUAAUUAAUUCCAUAACUUAUGUGUUUAAAGUAGUUUUAAUCCAAAAACUCUUCAAGUUCCAUAACUUGAGGACAAGUUAUGGAAGACUUUAAACUAAUAAAAGAAUUAACUUUUCUUUAUUUUAUAACUUAUGGAAUUAAUUAAGGUUACACUUUUUUUUAAUUUAUUAUUUAAUGAAGAGACUCUUGGUCAUCCAUAACUUGAGGACAAGUUAUGGAGUCAUAAAACAAUUUAAUGAGGAAAAAGACUCUUCAUUUUGUAACCUAUGGCAACUUUUAUGAGUUUUAAGAUUCAUAAAUGUGACUUAUAAGUUACAUAAACACAUUUUAUGAACUUCUUUUAGAUUAAUUUGGAUUAAAACCAACUAUCACAUAAUUUUAUUCAUUAAUCUAAAUUCACUCAUAAAACAAGGUAACACAAAAAACUUUUGGUGAUCCAUAACUUAUUCUUAAGUUAUGGAAUCCUUUAAAACAUUAACACCAAAUUUUGUAACUCCAUAAAAACUUUGAAUCAAUUUUUUUAAAACCUUUUCAUAUCCAUAACUUAUGGAGGUUUCAAAAAAUAAAACUCUUUAGAUCAAACUUUUAAAACUAAUAAAAUAAUCAUAUCAUUUUAUCUUUUAUUAAAUUUGACCUAAUUCAACUCAUAAAGCAAAUUAUUCAAAUUUUACAAAUAAUUAGUUUUUCACAAGAACAAGUAAUUAUCUUAAAAUUUGACAAACUUCAUGUUUUUUUUUCCCUUUUUUUCAACUUUGAAAAUAAAAUAUUUGCAUCAAUAUAACAGAAAACAACCCGUGGCUCUGAUACCACUGUUGGAUUUUGAGCAUUCUAACACUCCUAAGUGUACAUGCAACCCUAAAUACCUUGAAUCUAUGUUUUCUCUAUUAUACAUGCAAACUUGCAAGGUAUUAUCCUAAUCUAGCAUACAAAACAAUGAAUAUAACAAGAUAGAAUACAUACCUCUUUGAUGUAGAAAGUCUUCAUGAAGCUUGAGUGCCUAGUGCCCCAAGUGUGACACCUCAAAUGGUUCACACAACACCAAAUACACUUGGAAUAACUUGAGAGAAACUUGAACACUCCUUAAAAUUGUCUAGCCCUCACACUCACACAUAGUGCACGAUUUCUUGAGCCAUGGGAUUCUUUUAUAUGGUGGCUAUU
rnacentral:lncRNA from 1 species